CCAACCUUCCCCAUAGCUCAGGGAUAGCCUUUCGAAAGAAAGAUUAAUACCUGAUAGUACUUUUUUCAAGGCAUCUUGAGAAAGUUAAAAGAUUUAUUGGUUAUGGAUGGGGAUGCGUUCCAUUAGAUAGUUGGUGAGGUAACGGCUCACCAAGUCUUCGAUGGAUAGGGGUUCUGAGAGGAAGGUCCCCCACAUUGGUACUGAGACACGGACCAAACUCCUACGGGAGGCAGCAGUGAAGGAAUAUUGGUCAAUGGGCGAGAGCCUGAACCAGCCAAGUAGCGUGAAGGAAUGAAGGUCCUAUGGAUUGUAAACUUCUUUUAUAGUAGAAUAAAGUGAUCCACGUGUGGAUUUUUGUAUGUAUACUAUGAAUAAGGAUCGGCUAACUCCGUGCCAGCCGCCGC
rnacentral:rRNA from 1 species